UACGUAGGGUGCAAGCGUUGUCCGGAAUUAUUGGGCGUAAAGAGCUCGUAGGCGGUUUGUUGCGUCGGCUGUGAAAUCCCGAGGCUCAACCUCGGGUCUGCAGUCGAUACGAGCAAACUAGAGUGUUGCAGGGGAGACUGGAAUUCCUGGUGAUAGCGGUGAAAUGCGCAGAUAUCAGGAGGAACACCCGUAGCGAAGGCGGCUGACUGGUCCGGUUCUGACGCUGAGGCGGCGAAAGCGUGGGGAGCAACAGG
rnacentral:rRNA from 1 species